GAUGAACGCUAGCGGCAGGCUUAAUACAUGCAAGUCGAGGGGCAGCAGGACUGUAGCAAUACAGUUGCUGGCGACCGGCAAACGGGUGCGGAACACGUACGCAACCUUCCUUUAAGUGAGGGAUAGCCCAGGGAAACUUGGAUUAAUACCUCGUAAUAUUUGAGAGUGGCAUCACUUUCUAAUUAUAGCUCCGGCGCUUAAAGAUGGGCGUGCGACUGAUUAGGUAGUUGGCGGGGUAACGGCCCACCAAGCCUGCGAUCAGUAACUGGUGUGAGAGCACGACCAGUCACACGGGCACUGAGACACGGGCCCGACUCCUACGGGAGGCAGCAGUAAGGAAUAUUGGUCAAUGGACGCAAGUCUGAACCAGCCAUGCCGCGUGGAGGAUGAAGGUCCUCUGGAUUGUAAACUUCCUUUAUCUGGGAAGAAACCCAUAUUUUCUAGUGUGGUUGACGGUACCAGAUGAAUAAGCACCGGCUAACUCCGUGCCAGCAGCCGCCGUAAGAC
rnacentral:rRNA from 1 species